AUUGAACGCUGGCGGCAGGCCUAACACAUGCAAGUCGAGCGGGGCAGCGGCCGGGUGCGUAAUGCCUAGGCCUCUGCAUGGUCCUGAGGGAUAACGUCAGGAAACGGGCGCUACUACCGCAUCCUUUCAGCUGAGCCUAGGUCGGAUUGGCUAGUUGGUGGGGUAAAGGCCUACCAAGUCGACGGUCCGUAACUGGUCUGAGAGGAUGAGCAGUCACACUGGAACUGAGACACGGUCCAGACUCCUACGGGAGGCAGCAGUGGGGAAUAUUGGACAAUGGGCGAAAGCCUGAUCCAGCCAUGCCGCGUGUGUGAAGAAGGUCUUCGGAUUGUAAAGUACUUUAAGCUGGGAGGCGUUACCAACAGAAUAAGCACCGGCUAACUCCGUGCCAGCAGCCGCGGUAAUAC
rnacentral:rRNA from 1 species